AUGGGUCUUGCAAACAAGACUCUUGUGGCAGAGGCUCGUGCUCGAGCGGAGCAUGGGGACCUGGGUGCCCCGGCCACCACUGACCCUGGGCUCGGGCCGAACAGUUCUGCAUCUGGGACCGGUACCCUUCGAUGCCCUUCGCAGGGAAGGACACGGAGGGGGAGGCCGCCUACGCGCCUUCACCCCACUGAUCACCAGAUGGUGGUGCAUGGGGCUAGUGUUGGGGUUCCUCCACGGGAUCCCGCAGCCGCCGACUCCCCCGCAAGCGGGGGCGCCGUGGCUGCCCAACAAAGCAGACUCCCGGACCUGCGAGGGAUGGCUUACUGGUGGCUUUCUUCCAAAAGUUCUGAAAUGUCCUACAGCCGGUGA
rnacentral:rRNA from 1 species